AAAGCCUUGUGAAUUAGAAGAAGCACCAACUUCUGAUGACUUAUAUCCAACAAAUGAUUGUCGCUGAGUUGGUACGUUUCUCCAAACAUUAUAUGGCCUUGCUGAAUUCUCACCCUGUUGAGACAUGACUGAAGGCCGAGACACAGGGGCAGCCUCCAAAACUGGAAAUUGUUGACCGACCAGAUUGGUGUGCAUCUGUUGGGAAGUAUCUUGAGAAGGGGCUUGGUUAAAAGGUGGGAAUCUGCCAUUUCCACCAGGUAAGGUUGCCUGCAAAGAAUGAGUUGAUACAGGUACAUUGGAUAAGGGAUGCAUUAGAAGUUGAUUUCUUGUUUGUGAAGGACUCGGUGAAAAUGAUGCAGCAGAGUUUCCGAGCAUAUUCACAUAUGGAGAGGAACUUUUGGGUCCCAGAGUACCAGAUUUGUUUUCCCAGUGUGCUCUUUGAGGCAGCUCAUGUGAUUGAGGUGAAGACUGAAAUGAAGAUGGAGUUAACCAAGCUUGAUUUUUCUCUCCCAGUUCAGGAUUAACUUGCCUAGGAUUCAAAUUGUUUAUAGUCUGUGGUAAACCUGAAGCAAAGAGAAAACUGUUUGAAUUGGCCAGCCUUUGAGUAGGAGGAGCCAACCUCAAACCAAAACCUUGGGAAUCAGAAGGCUGAGUAUAAAGUUGAGAGACAGAUGUAUCAUGUGAA
rnacentral:misc_RNA from 1 species